rnacentral:rRNA from 1 species
UUCCAGACUCCUACGGGAGGCAGCAGUGAGGAAUAUUGGUCAAUGGUCGGGAGACUGAACCAGCCAAGCCGCGUGAGGGAUGAAGGUACAGAGUAUCGUAAACCUCUUUUGUCAGGGAACAAAGGCGGGGACGCGUCCCCGGAUGAGUGUACCUGAAGAAAAAGCAUCGGCUAACUCCGUGCCAGCAGCCGCGGUAAUACGGAGGAUCCGAGCGUUAUCCGGAUUUAUUGGGUUUAACGGGAGCGUAGGGGGAUUGUUAAGUCAGUUGUGAAAGUUUGCGGCUCAACCGUAAAAUUGCAGUUGAAACUGGCAGUCUUGAGUACAGUAGAGGUGGGCGGAAUUCGUGGUGUAGCGGUGAAAUGCUUAGAUAUCACGAAGAACUCCGAUUGCGAAGGCAGCAUACCGGCGCCCGACUGACGCUGAGGCACGAAAGCGUGGGUAUCGAACAGGAUUAGAUACCCCCGUAU